rnacentral:lncRNA from 1 species
UUUUUUUUUUUUUUUAAUGCUCAAAGCUACAGUUUAUUACAGUGAAUUAAAACUAGCAAAAGCAAAAUAUAUAUAGACUAGAAUCCAGUAAAGAACAGGCACAGAUUUCCAACAGUUCUCUUCCAGUGGAGUUGUACAGACAGCAUCUAAUUUUCCCAGAAACAAUGUCUGACAACACAUUUGGGGCUACUCCCCACCAUGAAAGCUCACCCAAGCCUUGGUGUACAGUGUUCUUAUUGUCGUGAGGGCAGUCAUGUGGGCAUGGAAAGCUUACACAGCUGAUCUUAGUAACUUCAAACUCCAGCCCUUUUAGAAGUCAAACUGAUUUGGUAUAGCCCAGGUCCCUUACCAUAAAUCACACGGUCAGUAUAAACCAUCUGGUAGUUUAUCUGAAAGGCCUCCACAUAUACAAAACAUUUUUAUCAGGUAAAAUAUUUUAAGGGCUUAGAUGUUCUCUUCCAGGAUCCAGUCAAGGGCUAGACCUUUCCUUGGAAGGUAAAAGUCCCCUAGACUUACUGAGUUAACCUUUACUAGAUAGGCUGUAAGAAUGAAGGUGAUGUCCUGAUGUUUAUACUAGCAUUACCAACAGUACCCAAAUUAUGGAAAGAUCCCAAGUGUCCAUUGACUGAUGAAUGGAGAAAAAAAGAAGUGGUAAUUUAUAUCUACAUUGGAACAUUAUUCAGCCAUAAAAAAGAAUGAAAUCUUGCCAUCUACAAAGACAUGGAUGGAACUAGAUACAAGCAAAAUAAGUUAGAGAAAGGCUAAUACCAUAGGAUUAAACUCACCUGUGAAAUUUAAGAAAGAAAACAAAUGAACAUGGGGGGAAAAAAGAGAACAAACCAAGACUCUUAACUAUAGAGAAUAAUCUGAUGGUUACCAGAGGGGAGGUAGGUAGGGGAUGGACUAAACAGGUGACUGGGAUUAAGGAGGGCACUUGUCAUGAUGAGCACCAGGUAUUGUAUGGAAGUGCUGAAUCACUGCAUCAUACACCUGAAACUAAUACUACAUUGUAUGUUAACUAGAAUUUAAAUAAAAACUUGGAAGGAAAAAAAAAAGAAUGAAUGUGAUAUCAUGAGAAAGGUAAAAUGAAGUGUUUGGUCAUCUUAUUGGGAGGAUAUGUCAAUGAAAUCAAACCCUUUUUACAAGUUAAGUCUGUCUACCAUUGGGGGUGGGGGCUGAAUUGCCUUAGAAGAAAAUGUAAAUGAAAAUAAUUUCCUAAGGCUUCUCAUUCAGGGCUCAAAGAACAUUACUGAGGUGGAGUAUUCUCCCCAUCAAUCAGCUUCAAUCAUGUCACUUCAGACUUUUGAAAAGGUUACCAGACUAAUAUGCAGAUAAUAAACCAUAUUGGAAUUCUAUACACACAUACACACCUACGCGCACACACACAAUAUGGGUAUAUACAUUUGCAUCAGUGUUAGCGCUGAUAUAAAAUUAGUAAGAUGAAAAAUGAUUAUUUGUUAAAACAUUCUUCUCCUCACUAAAUUAUAAACUUCAUGAGGACAGGGUUUGCUUAUGUUUCUCUACCAUAUCCUUACAACCUAGAAAAGGGCCCAGACACACAGUAGCUGUUCAGUAAACAUGUUUAAUUAAUAUAACAUAUUAUAAUCAUUGAAAUCUUAUCUUUUAGAAAAGAAUGGUAAACAUUUUAGAACUUUAUUUCAUAAGUAAUUGAAAGAAUCAGACUUUUUUAUGGCUGCAAUUUCUCAUAUAAUAAUAUGACUCAAAACAACAUAUAUAAUCAUUCGACAGCCAAUCUAUCUAAAAUUGUUUUACCUCAUAUUCAGAAAUAUGUUUCCUGCAUCAGUUAUGUUAUAACCUUACAGAAGGUCAUACAUAGACUUUUAACUAAAAGGAGUAUUAACUCUUUUAAUAGUAACAUGCCCUUUACAUUGCACAGGGCCCACUUGACUGUCCAAUAAAAUUGACAAUAUUUUCUAUAUUUAAAUUUAAAUCUAUGUUCUAUCUUGAAAGGAUCUAAAAAAAGGAAGAGAAAAAGCAGCAACAAAGAAAAGCAAAUAGUAAACGUGAGAAUAAUGGUUAAAUACAAAUUCACGAGAAAAUCAGAAAAUGUUGAAAAUGAUGAUCAUGUUAAUGAUUCAUCUCUGCUUUCCAACUCUUCUCCAAUCAUACUGUUAAGAUAAAAAUGAAGGCAUAUUAGGGCUGCCAUGGCCCUUGAGUAUAGAAUAGGUACCUAGUAUGAGAAGAUGAUAUGCCAACACUAGUUAGAACUGACUUCUCAAAGUCAUUGCUCCUUUAGGGAUUCAGGUGCAUCAGGAAUUCUAUACGCAUGUCCAGUCAAGCCAAAAGCUCACUCUUCAGCAUAAUAAUAGUUAAAAUGUAGCUCCCCUGUGGUGGUGGUGGUGGCGGAAGUCCUGGUAGUAGUGGAUUCAAACACAUUUUACUAUACGCCGACAUCAGCUAUAUCUUAAGUGAAUUUAAUCUAGAAUGAUUUUGAUUAAGGAGACUCAGGGUAAAAGGAGGCUAGAGCAAGCCACUGGAACACAGCAGCUGGUUUGCACAUCAUUUUACUCUAUGCUUCUAUACCUACUUCUAUCCAGAAAUACUGAAGAGGAAAGCAUUUCUGAGAGAGAUUACAAAUAGGAUCAAAGCAACAGUUAAGAUUGUGAACACUAUGAAAAUCUUUUGGCCCUUUAAAGUUUAUGCACACCAUAUGGUUCUUCUCUCUCAAGAGAACAUCACCACAUAAAACCAACAGCUACUGGGAAUAACCAAAUUACAUAAAAUUAAUGGGAUGUGGCUCUUCACAAGGAAUAAAUUUAUAACUAAAUGAUGAGUGCCUUAUUCUUUUUAUUCCAGUGGGUGAACUGCUAGAGUAAUCAAUUCAAUCAGGUCUAUUAGAGAGGCCCAUUACAUGUCUGAUGGGCAGUUGUACUUUUUUUCACUUCCUUAUUCCAAUUUCUGUGUUGAAAGAAAAAUAAACAGGUUGAUCUUUGAAUUUAAAUCUGGAGGGCUGGGAAGUCAGAUAGCAAAGAAGAAAAAAUUUUAAAAGAAAACUAGGAUUCAGAUAAGCCAAAGACACAAAAGGAUAAAAAGAUAUGUCAGAAAUGUUAAAAUAGUUUGUGAAUAAAUCAAAUAUUUUCAAUUUAUUUUAAAAGUGCAAAAUUCCGCGAUAUUCAUAAAAUCUUCCUAAAAGUUAAAAAAAAAAAUAACAAAUUAAGCCGAAGGACAGAAUUACUGUGAUCCAAACUUAGAAGAACCAAACCAAUGUGGAUCCAUGCCCUAGGUCCAAGUGAUCCACACAGAAAUCUGCACAGGCAACAACAGUAAGCUCCAUGGGAGUGUGGGCAAGCACUGUCUUUGAUGAGAUGGUGAGGCAGAGUGAAGAGACCAAUGGCCUAGUCCUUACUUCUGAUAAUAAGGCAAAUUUUUACAUCUAAAAGUUACCUCAUCUAUAAACUGGCAAUAUCCUUUAUCUUAACUACCUCCUCAUUUUGACAGGAAAGACACGUGAGAUAAUACUUGGAGGGCUCUGUAAAUGUUAGUGCAUGAAACAGAUAAAAGGUACUGUUGAUACGAGAGUUGGUAUUGUUGCUAUCUCUAACACAAAGCAAGUGCUCAGGAAACAUUUGUUCAAUGAAAGGACAAACAUGUUAAAAUAAUUUUUAAAACCUAGAGCUAAAUCACCAAAUGAUGUCAAUACAUAACAUGAGAUUGACAUUGUAUUCUGUGAUGUUCCAGUUUUCUAUAAUAAUUGCCAAUAUUAACCCAGUGCUUACUAUUUGCCAGACCCGGUUCUAAAGACUUUAGAAAUAUAAUGUGACAAGAACUCCAAGAGUUUGAAUCUACUAUUAGAAUCUACCUAAUCUACAAAUCCUUAUUUACAUGUGAAGAAAAAUACCUAACCCAAAAUACAGAUUUAAAUAAUUUACCAAAAAGCACACUCUGUAAGUGGAGGAUUCAAUUCAAAUCUAAAAAAAAAAUCUGGCUCUAGUAACUAUGCUUUAAAACUAAAAUGAAUUCAUUAACACAUAUACUCAGUGGUAAAUUGUUAAGUAUAUCUGUAUAAAUAUUACAGUGCAUAACCAAAAUAGUAUUUUCAGAUCAAAUUAAUUCGGGAUCAUUGUUAAUUAUGCUACACAGUCAUAGUUCUUUUAUAUUUUGGAGCUAACUCAACAGCAUUAUAUCAAUUACAUGGCUUCCCUGGCAUGGGAAGCAUUGCUCUGCCUUCAAAAUAUUUCCUUCAUCUAUCCCCAGAUAUACUCAUAAUUGCUUAUCUUAAGUAGUAUUGUACAGAUGUGAAAAUGUUUAAACAUGAGAGAUUCUUAAAGAAUCCUGGUAGAAACACCUGGACUAGGUAGAUAUUUACAGAUAGUCAUCAGUUCAUUAACAAUAUAUUUACUACUGACUGCAAUAAACAUUGUAUUAGGUACUGAGUGGGAACAGACUAGCAAUUAAAGAUACAACCUUAAUCAAUGAUUUUAAAAAAUCUAAUUAAGGCACAAAGCUUAUGCCAGAAAGCCCAGAAAUUACAUUUUUAUUUUAUUUUUUUUCAAAGAUUGUAUUUAUUUAUUCAUGAGAGACAGAGAGAGAGAGAGAGAGAUGCAGAGACACAGGCAGAAGAAGAAGCAGGCUCCAUGCAGGGAGUCCAAUGUGGGACUCGAUCCUGGGUCUCCAGCAUCAGGCCCCGGGCUGAAGGCAGCACUAAACCGCUGAGCCACCCGGGCUGCCCCAGAAAUUACAUUAAAAAAAAAAAACAAAAACAAA